GGUGGUUCUCAGGUGAUGCACCCUGGAAUUGGGCUCCCUCCUCUCUGGUUCUGGGUGCGUCACCGGAGAACUGCA
rfam:Myotis lucifugus cont2.43375, whole genome shotgun sequence.